CCGCCACUCACAAAUGCAGGUGCCGAGCCAGACAGCAGGUGCGUGACCAAGGAAGAGGAGACCCACCCUGUGUAUGUCAUGCUAAUUGUGACACUUUCCGGGUCACAGUGCAGCCAGCAAUACUGUCCCUCUGUGCCCUUUGUAUUCCUGGAGGAAGGAGCUUCUCAGGCUGGCGACUUCUGCGGCUGUCCUGCCCUCUGCUGGCCAGCGAGGCUGACGCACCGCGGAGCUCCACACGUCCAGGAUGACGCCAACUGCUUACCACUAGGGAAGACUUAACUUCUCAAGACUAUUACAUUUUAAAACAGAGACUCAGUCGUUUUCUGACCAGCAUCUGUAAUGGCUCCGUGAACUCUCUCAUGCCGGAGGCCCUUCAGUCUCAUGCGUUCUGGCUGAAGUGAAGAUGGAGACGUGGAGUAGGAAUGUCACGUGACACAAGCUGCAUGGGGAAGUCAUACUUCUUCGAGGUCACAGGGCCUCGAGUCUGAUUUUGAAGGCUACGAAUUCCUCAUGCUGUGGCCCCAGAACAAUGAGGGGAUGUACACGGGUCCCAGCUGACCCGCCCAGCCUCACCCUCCGCAAAUGCUGCCCAGGGCUGGUAACAAAGGGCCCUCACAGUUUUCCCUGCCCUCCGCCUACUGGCAUCUGAUCCCAGUCAGCAAAUGUUUAGCUACUGUUCAGUCAAAACAUGUUUAUUUUCU
rnacentral:lncRNA from 1 species